rnacentral:rRNA from 1 species
UACAUGGGGUGCAAACGUUGCUCGGAAUCAUUGGGCGUAAAGCGCGCGUAGGCGGUUACUUAAGUUGGAUGUGAAAUCCCUCGGCUUAACCGGGGAACUGCGUCUGAUACUGGAUGGCUUGAGUUUGGGAGAGGGAUGCGGAAUUCCAGGUGUAGCGGUGAAAUGCGUAGAUAUCUGGAGGAACACCGGUGGCGAAGGCGGCAUCCUGGACCAACACUGACGCUGAUGAGCGAAAGCCAGGGGAGCAAACGGG